UACGCCGCCGGCCCUGACUCCUCCAACGCUCGCCGCCAUGGCCGAGGAUACGGUACACGAGCACGGAAGCGGGUGGGAUAGUGUGGUAAUUGGCGCCUCCCAGCAGCAGAGAGCGAGAGAGAUUUAGUAGCUGACCAUCACGCCGAGGGAUGCAAGCAGCAACGGCACCCAGGUGCCCAUGACGGCGAGUGGGAUGAGAAAGGGGCUACAAAAGCGUCAGAGUUGGAGGCGCGGUGGCUGGGAAAAGAGCCAGCGGGAGACGGGGAGGCUCGCCAGAGGACGCGCGCGGCGGCGCGGUCGCGUGUGAGGCGGCCGGCUACAGGGGCGUGCAGGCGGCGCUCGGGCACUGGCGACGCCAUGGUCUUCUGGCGAGGCGGGCGAGCACAUACAUGAAGGCCGCGGGGGGCACGCUGCCCGGGCGACGAAGGAGGCGGUCGUCACCGGUGGCGGGGCCGGAUGCGUCGGAUGCGCGCGCUUGCCUGCAGUCAACGCAGACAGACAUAGCGGCCAUCCAUGGCAGCGAGCGGCUCCGGGGGCGGCGACGGGGUUGGGUGGUUCAAGCGGCCGCUUCUGCAGCUACAUGGGAGACGUCCAGCAGUGAUUUAGUAGGAUGUCGACCCUAAACAAUGGAAAACAAGCAUCCGAUGGAGAAGUGUUGUUCUGAAAAAUGGGUUCAUAACUUCAUAUGCUAAACUGAAACCAUGCAUAUUUGAAUAGCAGGAUUAGAGGGUCAGAGUUGGUAGCCAUCUCCUGGACAGGGCGCUCUAGGGCGUGUUGGCGUGCUUGAGCAGACGAAACACUGAUGUUAGCUGCGAGGUGGAGAAGGAAUACGCCAUGGAUGGAUUUUGGUAGGUCUGAUGGCAACAGUUUCAACUUAGUAAGUCAUAUGUUGAUAUUCAUAUGAUUGUGAUCUCGGAAAUAAAAAUUCAUAGGAAAGGAACAGAAACCUUCACUGAACAUAGAGCUGUGUUGUACCUGUACCGAGAAAAGUUUGUAGAGUAUGAAAAUAUGUUCCGAGACGAAACAAAUUAUGAUUAUUAGUCAUAGCAGUUGUAGGAACGGAUGAAAAUUGUAUUGCCGGUUUAGCAGGCGUGCUGGUGCUCACAUGCUUAUCCAUUGUGAUAUGGGUUUGCAGGUCCAAAGGCACAGCAUACUAUGCUCAUGCAUAUGUGACAUAAACCAAUUCUA